CCUACGGGGGGCAGCAGUAGGGAAUAUUGCUCAAUGGGCGAAACCCUGAAGCAGCAACGCCGCGUGGAGGAUGAAGGUUUUCGGAUUGUAAACUCCUUUUGUUAGAGAAGAUAAUGACGGUAUCUAACGAAUAAGCACCGGCUAACUACGGGCCAGCAGCCGCGGUAAUACGGAGGGUGCAAGCGUUACUCGGAAUCACUGGGCGUAAAGAGCGCGUAGGCGGGAUAGCAAGUCAGACGUGAAAUCCUAUGGCUUAACCCUAGAACUGCAUUUGAAACUGUUAGUCUAGAGUAUGGGAGAGGUAGGUGGAAUUCUUGGUGUAGGGGUAAAAUGCGUAGAGAUCAAGAGGAAUACUGAUUGCGAAGGCGGCCUGCUAGAACAUAACUGACGCUGAUGCGCGAAAGCGUGGGGAGCAAACAGGAUUAGAUACCCGGGUAGUC
rnacentral:rRNA from 1 species